rnacentral:rRNA from 1 species
CCUACGGGAGGCAGCAGUGGGGAAUAUUGCGCAAUGGGGAAACCCUGACGCAGCAACGCCGCGUGAGCGAUGAAGGCCUUCGGGUCGUAAAGCUCUGUCUUCUGGGACGAUAAUGACGGUACCAGAGGAGGAAGCCACGGCUAACUACGUGCCAGCAGCCGCGGUAAU